rnacentral:lncRNA from 1 species
GUCAAGGAGGAAAAGAAACCUCCAGAACCUUGAUACGUGCGACGAUGGAGAAAAAGAGACCAAGAGAAAGUGAUUUCCAACUUGAAAUCUGGAAAUUCAAAGUGUAAAUCUUGUUAAUGCAAGUUUAUAAUCUGAUUUCUAGCAUCAUCAUCUCUUUUUUUUUGAAUUUAGAAGAUUAGCUAAAAUCCAACAAGGAACGCAAGGUGGAAGCUUUGGGCAAACAAGGUAAGUGAUUUCUGUAAUCACUUCUUAUUUUAUUUAAGUAAAGUAGCGUUAGUUGAUUAAGCAUGAUGAGGUUUGAAGUUUCAUAUGGUUUUGGUCGUAUGAAAUUGGUAAUUUUAACUUAGUAGACCGAAUGGGACAAUAUAAAGUUGUAAUGAUAUGACGAAUAAUGUCUAAGUAAUGGCUACGGUAUGUAACCGGGUAAUGGGUAAAAUUGCACAUAAGUGCACCAACCGAGAAUGGGGACUUAGGUUAAUGGGUCAAAGUGAAGGUAUAUUUUAGCACGGAAUGUUUGUACAAGCAAUGUCGAUAAUAUUUCAUGUGCCCGGUUAGUGUAAGGUGUUAUAACAUUAACAUUAUGUGAGCCUUAAGUGUAAACAUAUGAGUUGUUGAUAAAUGCAUGACGGGUCGAAUAAUUCGUAAUGAAUAAUAAGCCGAAAAUGUAUAAGUUAAGAAUUUCCUUAACCCGGAUGUUGGAUUUUAAGUUCACAUAAUAGAAUGUUAAUUUACAAUCAUGUAGGAAGAAACGGGAGGUUAAUCGGGUAAACGGUUUAAAAGCUAUGCAAGUUUUUGUGCGUGCGAACGACAAAACAACACCGCAGAAAAAUGGCAAAACUAGAGGCCGUCGCCGACGCCCCUAUGGGCCGUCGCCGACGCCUUGUGCAUUUUCAGUUUUCUCCGACGCCUAAUUUUCCUGUCUACGGAGGUUUCUGGCUACGCGAAAAACUAAUAGCCGUCUCCGACGCCCUAUAGGGCCGUCGCCGACGGCCUCCAGAUGUUUUAAAUGCUGAAAUUCGUUAAUUAAGUUAUUUUGUGUAUCGUAAGCUUCGGUAUAUUAACCGUGGUCUACGACGGGCCUCCCAAACAUAAUUUUGAAUGUUUCCUUGAUGUUUUUGGAUCAUAAAUCCAAGUCUAAGCACUCCAUAAUUAAUGUACGAGUAUGAUAAGUGAAUGCGAAUAAGUUAAAUCAAGAAUUGAAUGUAAGUAAGUAAGUGUAGACAUGAUUAUGUAAGCAUUUAGUUAUGUAUAUAGAUAAGUAGAUGUGUAGAUAUGUAGGUGCGUAUGAUUAGACGUAUGAAUAUACGAAUGCACGAAGUAGGAUUUAUCACCUAUGAAAAGAAUGGGACAGGUAUGCAUGUAUACAUGGUUUAAAUACGUUUGAGUAUGGACGUUACUAAUGAUGUGCUUGAGAUUGGAAUGUAAUGCAGGAAUGAGAACGUCAGACUCUUGUAGAAUUGAAGCCGAACCUGGAAGCCAAACUCGAAACAAAGGAAUCCGAGAGGAUAGUCAAAUGAAUUAAAGUUUAUGUUGUUGAAUGUUAUAUGAUUUUUAAUUGCACCAGAUUAUUGUUGUAUGAUGUUGUCAAUGACUAAUGGUUAAGUUGUAUGUGAUGUCCACAGGUACUACACGGAUUUCUUCUACCACUAUCGAAGAUAAGCGGGCAUAGAUCGAGUCGAAUAACAAGGAUUGUACGGAAAGAACGGUUACGUAGUCUUAAUUUUGUAACGCAUUAAUUUGUAAAAAGGGAAGUGAAUUUUGUAAGCUUCUUCUUGAAUGUGUGUAUUAUUUUAAGAUCGUAAAGGAAUUUUUAAAGCUAUUUUUCCGCUGCGUUAUCUUUAAGUUCUUACACGAUGAUCUUACAGGGAAUCGUUCUUAUUACGAACGGGUCAUGCCCGAUUUUUUCUUAAAUAAUAAUAUGGUAAUAUUACUUU